GCUCAGGACGAACGCUGGCGGCGUGCUUAACACAUGCAAGUCGAACGAUGAUGCCCAGCUUGCUGGGUGGAUUAGUGGCGAACGGGUGAGUAACACGUGAGUAACCUGCCCCUGACUCUGGGAUAAGCGUUGGAAACGACGUCUAAUACUGGAUAUGACUGCCGGCCGCAUGGUCUGGUGGUGGAAAGAUUUUUUGGUUGGGGAUGGACUCGCGGCCUAUCAGCUUGUUGGUGAGGUAAUGGCUCACCAAGGCGACGACGGGUAGCCGGCCUGAGAGGGUGACCGGCCACACUGGGACUGAGACACGGCCCAGACUCCUACGGGAGGCAGCAGUGGGGAAUAUUGCACAAUGGGCGAAAGCCUGAUGCAGCAACGCCGCGUGAGGGAUGACGGCCUUCGGGUUGUAAACCUCUUUUAGUAGGGAAGAAGCGUAAGUGACGGUACCUGCAGAAAAAGCACCGGCUAACUACGUGCCAGCAGCCGCGGUAAUACGUAGGGUGCAAGCGUUGUCCGGAAUUAUUGGGCGUAAAGAGCUCGUAGGCGGUUUGUCGCGUCUGCUGUGAAAUCCCGAGGCUCAACCUCGGGCUUGCAGUGGGUACGGGCAGACUAGAGUGCGGUAGGGGAGAUUGGAAUUCCUGGUGUAGCGGUGGAAUGCGCAGAUAUCAGGAGGAACACCGAUGGCGAAGGCAGAUCUCUGGGCCGUAACUGACGCUGAGGAGCGAAAGCGUGGGGAGCGAACAGGAUUAGAUACCCUGGUAGUCCACGCCGUAAACGUUGGGCGCUAGAUGUAGGGACCUUUCCACGGUUUCUGUGUCGUAGCUAACGCAUUAAGCGCCCCGCCUGGGGAGUACGGCCGCAAGGCUAAAACUCAAAGGAAUUGACGGGGGCCCGCACAAGCGGCGGAGCAUGCGGAUUAAUUCGAUGCAACGCGAAGAACCUUACCAAGGCUUGACAUACACCGGAAACGGCCAGAGAUGGUUGCCCCCUUGUGGUCGGUGUACAGGUGGUGCAUGGUUGUCGUCAGCUCGUGUCGUGAGAUGUUGGGUUAAGUCCCGCAACGAGCGCAACCCUCGUUCUAUGUUGCCAGCGCGUUAUGGCGGGGACUCAUAGGAGACUGCCGGGGUCAACUCGGAGGAAGGUGGGGAUGACGUCAAAUCAUCAUGCCCCUUAUGUCUUGGGCUUCACGCAUGCUACAAUGGCCGGUACAAAGGGCUGCGAUACCGUAAGGUGGAGCGAAUCCCAAAAAGCCGGUCUCAGUUCGGAUUGAGGUCUGCAACUCGACCUCAUGAAGUCGGAGUCGCUAGUAAUCGCAGAUCAGCAACGCUGCGGUGAAUA
rnacentral:rRNA from 1 species